GAUGAACGCUGGCGGCGUGCUUAACACAUGCAAGUCGAACGGUGAAGCCAAGCUUGCUUGGUGGAUCAGUGGCGAACGGGUGAGUAACACGUGAGCAACCUGCCCUGGACUCUGGGAUAAGCGCUGGAAACGGCGUCUAAUACUGGAUAUGAGCUCUCAUCGCAUGGUGGGGGUUGGAAAGAUUUUUCGGUCUGGGAUGGGCUCGCGGCCUAUCAGCUUGUUGGUGAGGUAAUGGCUCACCAAGGCGUCGACGGGUAGCCGGCCUGAGAGGGUGACCGGCCACACUGGGACUGAGACACGGCCCAGACUCCUACGGGAGGCAGCAGUGGGGAAUAUUGCACAAUGGGCGGAAGCCUGAUGCAGCAACGCCGCGUGAGGGAUGACGGCCUUCGGGUUGUAAACCUCUUUUAGCAGGGAAGAAGCGAGAGUGACGGUACCUGCAGAAAAAGCGCCGGCUAACUACGUGCCAGCAGCCGCGGUAAUACGUAGGGCGCAAGCGUUAUCCGGAAUUAUUGGGCGUAAAGAGCUCGUAGGCGGUUUGUCGCGUCUGCUGUGAAAUUCCGAGGCUCAACCUCGGGCCUGCAGUGGGUACGGGCAGACUAGAGUGCGGUAGGGGAGAUUGGAAUUCCUGGUGUAGCGGUGGAAUGCGCAGAUAUCAGGAGGAACACCGAUGGCGAAGGCAGAUCUCUGGGCCGUAACUGACGCUGAGGAGCGAAAGGGUGGGGAGCAAACAGGCUUAGAUACCCUGGUAGUCCACCCCGUAAACGUUGGGAACUAGUUGUGGGGACCAUUCCACGGUUUCCGUGACGCAGCUAACGCAUUAAGUUCCCCGCCUGGGGAGUACGGCCGCAAGGCUAAAACUCAAAGGAAUUGACGGGGACCCGCACAAGCGGCGGAGCAUGCGGAUUAAUUCGAUGCAACGCGAAGAACCUUACCAAGGCUUGACAUACACCAGAACACCGUAGAAAUACGGGACUCUUUGGACACUGGUGAACAGGUGGUGCAUGGUUGUCGUCAGCUCGUGUCGUGAGAUGUUGGGUUAAGUCCCGCAACGAGCGCAACCCUCGUUCUAUGUUGCCAGCACGUAAUGGUGGGAACUCAUGGGAUACUGCCGGGGUCAACUCGGAGGAAGGUGGGGAUGACGUCAAAUCAUCAUGCCCCUUAUGUCUUGGGCUUCACGCAUGCUACAAUGGCCGGUACAAAGGGCUGCAAUACCGUGAGGUGGAGCGAAUCCCAAAAAGCCGGUCCCAGUUCGGAUUGAGGUCUGCAACUCGACCUCAUGAAGUCGGAGUCGCUAGUAAUCGCAGAUCAACAACGCUGCGGUGAAUACGUUCCCGGGUC
rnacentral:rRNA from 1 species